GCCGGGCGCGGUGGCGGGCGCCUGUAAUCCCAGCUACUCAGGAGGCUGAGACAGGAGAAUCGCUUGAGCCUGGGAAGUGGAGGUUGUAGUGAGCUGAGCUCGCGCCACUGCACUCCAGCCUGGGCAACAGAGUGAGACCCUGUCUCCG
rnacentral:SRP_RNA from 1 species